CACGUACUCUCUCAGUCCCGAAAAGGUUGUCCCUCAAAUGGAUGUAUCUAGCACCAAGUUAGCGCUAGAUACAUCCAUUUGAAAGACAAGCUUGGGACAAGUUUUUUCGGACGAAGGAAGUACGCG
rfam:Triticum aestivum genome assembly, contig: Triticum_aestivum_CS42_TGACv1_scaffold_526537_6DL